AAUUUUGGACAAUGGGCGCAAGCCUGAUCCAGCCAUGCCGCGUGAUUGAAGAAGGCCUUCGGGCUGUAAAGCUCUUUCGGACGGCACGAAAUCGCGCAGGCUAAUACCCUGCGCGCGUGACGGUACCGUCAUAAGCAGCACCUGCUAACUACGUUCCAGCAGCCGCGGGAAUACGUAGGGUGCGAGCGUUAAUCGGAAUUACUGGGCGGAAAGCGUGCGCAGGCGGUUGAUUAAGAAAGGGAUGAAAGCAACGGGCUUAACCAGGGAAGUGAGCUUGUGAAUGGUCAGCUAGAGUAAGGCAGAGGGGGGUGGAAUUAAACGUGUAGCAGUGAAAUGCAUAGAGAUGUGGAGGAACAACGAUGGCGAAGGAAGCCCCCUGGGCCGAUACUGACGCUCAUGCACGAAAGCGUGGGUAGCAAACAGG
rnacentral:rRNA from 1 species